AAAAACAUCGCCUCUUGCAAAACCAAAAGUAUAAGAGGUCCCGCCUGCCCUGUGACUAUAUGUUUAACGGCCGCGGUAUUUUGACCGUGCGAAGGUAGCGCAAUCACUUGUCUUUUAAAUGGGGACCUGUAUGAAUGGCAUAACGAGGGCUUAACUGUCUCCUUUUUCAAGUCAGUGAAAUUGAUCUCCCCGUGCAGAAGCGGGGAUAGACACAUAAGACGAGAAGACCCUGUGGAGCUUCAGACACUAAAGCAGAUCAGUAUUAAUACCCUGAACAUAAGGCACGAAUAAGAUGAUUCCUGCCCUAAUGUCUUCGGUUGGGGCGACCGCGGAGAAAUAUAUAACCCCCGCAAGGACUGAAUGUACUACAUUCACAACCAAGAGUGACAACUCUAAUUAACAGAACUUCUGACCAAUAAGAUCCGGCAAUGCCGAUUAAUGAACCAAGUUACCCCAGGGAUAACAGCGCAAUCUCCUCUUAGAGUCCAUAUCGACGAGGAGGUUUACGACCUCGAUGUUGGAUCAGGACAUCCUAAUGGUGCAACCGCUAUUAAGGGUUCGUUUGUUCAACGAUUAAAGUCCUACGUGAUCUGAG
rnacentral:rRNA from 1 species